rnacentral:lncRNA from 1 species
GUCACCUGUGUGACCUCUGUGACCUCUCACCCCGUCAGCCCUCUCACUGAGGAGAGUGAGCACCCGUGCAGACAGGGUUACGGUGACGGAGCGGAGAACCUCACUGGGCGGGCUGUAGGCACGCAGUCACACAGACCCACUGUGCGCCCAUUCCUCGCAGACACAGUGUGUGCCCAUUCCUCACACAGACCCACUGUGCGCCCAUUCGUCACACACACUGUGUGCCCAUUCCUCACAGACCCACUGUGUGCCCAUUCCUCACAGACACACACACUGUGUGCCCAUUCCUCACAGACCCACUGUGCGCCCAUUCCUCACACAGACCCACUGUGUGCCCAUUCCUCUCAGAGCCACUGUGUGCCUGUUCCUCACAGACCCACUGUGUGCCCAUUCCUCACACACACACUGUGCCCAUUCCUCACAGACACACUGUGCGCCCAUUCCUCACAGACCCACUGUGUGCCCAUUCCUCACACACACUGUGUGCCCAUUCCUCACACAGACCCACUGUGUGCCCAUUCCUCUCAGAGCCACUGUGUGCCUGUUCCUCACAGACCCACUGUGUGCCCAUUCCUCACACACACACUGUGCCCAUUCCUCACAGACACACUGUGUGCCCAUUCCUCACAGACCCACUGUGUGCCCAUUCCUCACAGACACACUGUGCGCCCAUUCCUCACAGACCCACUGUGCGCCCAUUCCUCACACACACUGUGUGCCCAUUCCUCACAGACCCACUGUGUGCCCAUUCCUCACACAGACACACUGUGUGCCCAUUCCUCACACAGACACACUGUGUGCCCAUUCCUCACAGACACACACACUGUGUGCCCGUUCCUCACAGACCCACUGUGUGCCCGUUCCUCACAGACCCACUGUGCGCCCGUUCCUCACACACACUGUGUGCCCAUUCCUCACAGACACACUGUGUGCCCAUUCCUCACAGACACACUGUGCGCCCAUUCCUCACAGACCCACUGUGUGCCCAUUCCUCACAGACCCACUGUGUGCCCAUUCCUCACACAGACACACUGUGUGCCCAUUCCUCACACAGACACACUGUGUGCCCAUUCCUCACAGACACACACACUGUGUGCCCGUUCCUCACAGACCCACUGUGUGCCCGUUCCUCACAGACCCACUGUGCGCCCGUUCCUCACACACACUGUGUGCCCAUUCCUCACAGACACACUGUGUGCCCAUUCCUCACAGACACACUGUGCGCCCAUUCCUCACAGACCCACUGUGUGCCCAUUCCUCACGCACACUGUGUACCAUUCCUCACACAGACCCACUGUGUGCCCAUUCCUCACACACACUGUGUGCCCAUUCCUCACAGACCCACUGUGUGCCCAUUCCUCACACACACUGUUUACCAUUCCUCACAGACCCACUGUGUGCCCAUUCCUCACAGACCCACUGUGUGCCCAUUCCUCACAGACACACACACUGUGUGCCCAUUCCUCACAGACCCACUGUGCGCCCAUUCCUCUCAGAGCCACUGUGUGCCUGUUCCUCACAGACCCACUGUGUGCCCGUUCCUCACACACACACUGUGCCCAUUCCUCACAGACACACUGUGUGCCCAUUCCUCACAGACACACUGUGUGCCCAUUCCUCACACAGACACACUGUGUGCCCAUUCCUCACACAGACACACUGUGUGCCCGUUCUCACAGACCCACUGUGUGCCCGUUCCUCACAGACCCACUGUGCGCCCGUUCCUCACAGACACACUGUGCGCCCGUUCCUCACAGACCCACUGUGCGCCCGUUCCUCACAGACCCACUGUGCGCCCAUCCUCACACAGACACACUGUGCGCCCAUUCCUCACACAGACACACUGUGUGCCCAUUCCUCACACAGACACACUGUGUGCCCGUUCCUCACAGACCCACUGUGCGCCCAUCCUCACACAGACCCACUGUGUGCCCAUUCCUCACACAGACCCACUGUGUGCCCGUUCCUCACAGACCCACUGUGCGCCCGUUCCUCACAGACCCACUGUGCGCCCGUUCCUCACAGACCCACUGUGCGCCCGUUCCUCACAGACCCACUGUGCGCCCGUUCCUCAAGACCCACUGUGUGCCCAUUCCUCACAGACACACUGUGCGCCCAUUCCUCACACAGACCCACUGUGCGCCCGUUCCUCACAGACCCACUGUGCGCCCAUUCCUCACAGACCCACUGUGCGCCCAUUCCUCACACAGACACACUGUGCGCCCAUUCCUCACACAGACACAUUGUGCGCCCGUUCCUCACAGACCCACUGUGCGCCCGUUCCUCACAGACCCACUGUGCGCCCAUUCCUCACAGACAUACUGUGCGCCCAUUCCUCACAGAGCCACUGUGCGCCCAUUCCUCACAGAGCCACUGUGCGCCCAUUCCUCACACAGACACACUGUGUGCCCAUUCCUCACAGACCCACUGUGUGCCCAUUCCUCACAGACAUACUGUGCGCCCAUUCCUCACAGAGCCACUGUGCGCCCAUUCCUCACAGAGCCACUGUGCGCCCAUUCCUCACACAGACACACUGUGUGCCCAUUCCUCACACAGACACACUGUGUGCCCGUUCCUCACAGACCCACUGUGCGCCCAUCCUCACACAGACCCACUGUGUGCCCAUUCCUCACACAGACACACUGUGCGCCCAUUCCUCACACAGACACACUGUGUGCCCAUUCCUCACACACACACUGUGCCCAUUCCUCGCAGACACACUGUGCGCCCAUUUCUCACAGACCCACUGUGCGCCCAUUCCUCACAGGCACACCGCGCGCCCCUCUCAGUGUUCUGCGCACCAUGCCCCUCUCAUUGGUCGCCCGCCGGUCCCGGCAGUGCUGGGCGCUCCGUGCCGUGAGGAGGAGCGGGCUGUGGGGACGGCGCGGGCAGCAUGGCUGGGGCCUGCCGCCCUGCGGUGCCUAGAGCGCCUUGCCGCUCUGAACGCCUGAGCCCGAGCUCGGCAGCGCAGGCCACAGCUGCUCUUGGGGUCCUGGCUGCCGCGUCCAGUCUCUGCUGGGCCGCCCGUCGGCCGCCGCUGGGGGUUCCCGAGAGAGAAGUCGUCGUCCUCCAAGGACGCCUCCCUGUGCCGCAGAUUCCUGGGGCCUCCGUCCUGCCGGCCGGCUGAAGGCAUUGCUGUCGAUUUCUGGGGCGGCCGGCGUUUGACGGGAGCAGCAGAGUCUCAGUGGGAGGAAUGAGGAGGUUAGUCCGGAGCUCAGACCUCACGCGCACCCCGAGCCGUGCGAGCUGACAGGCGGCGGUUCCUGGGCAGCGGGGAGAGACGGGUUGAGUCUGCACUGCAUCGCCGUCGCGGGGGCUCGCACAGGCCGACCCCGUCCGUCUCUGGUUCCCUCCAGAGUCAGACGACCUGCAGCCGGCACUGGUGCCUGGUGCCCUGGAGUUGUGCGUGCCCCUGUCCAAGGGCUCCACGGCCUCCCAGGAGGAGAUCCCUGGCAGCCGGGGAGCUCUGAGCCCCAGGGGAGCCUGCUGGUCAGAGGCCGCGUGUGUGAGCGGCAGGGUGCCCCGUGCCGACCUCGGGCGCAGCCGGCGCUGCCUUCCCUCCUCGCAGAGCCUCGCAGACUUCCCUCGUGGCCGCCCCGUCCCGGCUGUAUGGGAGGGAGGGUCAUGGCCUGCCCCGUCCCGGCUGAACGGGAGGGUCAUGGCCUGCCCCAUCCUGACCGUAUGGGAGGGCUGUGGCCUGCCCCGUCCUGGCCGAAUGGGAGGGCCGUGGCCUGCCCCGUCCUGGCUGAACGGGAGGGUCGUGGCCUGCCCUGUCCUGGCUAAACAGGAGGGUCAUGGCCUGCCCCAUCCUGACCGUACGGGAGGGUCAUGGCCUGCCCCGUCCUGGCUGAACGGGAGGGCCAUGGCCUGCCCCAUCCUGACCGUACGGGAGGGCCAUGGCCUGCCCCGUCCUGGCUGAACGGGA